UGACGGUACCUGACUAAGAAGCACCGGCUAAAUACGUGCCAGCAGCCGCGGUAAUACGUAUGGUGCAAGCGUUAUCCGGAUUUACUGGGUGUAAAGGGAGCGCAGGCGGAAGGCUAAGUCUGAUGUGAAAGCCCACGGCUCAACCGUGGUACUGCAUUGGAAACUGGUCAUCUAGAGUGUCGGAGGGGUAAGCGGAAUUCCUAGUGUAGCGGUGAAAUGCGUAGAUAUUAGGAGGAACACCAGUGGCGAAGGCGGCUUACUGGACGAUGACUGACGCUGAGGCUCGAAAGCGUGGGGAGCAAACAGGAUUAGAUACCCUG
rnacentral:rRNA from 1 species